AAUGCUUGGGAAUCUGCCUGGUAGUGGGGGAUAACGUUCCGAAAGGAACGCUAAUACCGCAUACGCCCUACGGGGGAAAGCAGGGGAUCUUCGGACCUUGCGCUAAUAGAUGAGCCUAAGUCAGAUUAGCUAGUUGGUGGGGUAAAGGCCUACCAAGGCGACGAUCUGUAACGGGUCUGAGUGGAUGAUCCGUCACACUGGGACUGAGACACGGCCCAGACUCCUACGGGAGGCAGCAGUGGGGAAUAUUGGACAAUGGGGGCAACCCUGAUCCAGCCAUGCCGCGUGUGUGAAGAAGGCCUUUUGGUUGUAAAGCACUUUAAGCGAGGAGGAGGCUCCUGUAGAUAAUACCUACAGUGAGUGGACGUUACUCGCAGAAUAAGCACCGGCUAACUCUGUGCCAGCAGCCGCGGUAAUACAGAGGGUGCGAGCGUUAAUCGGAUUUACUGGGCGUAAAGCGUGCGUAGGUGGCCAAUUAAGUCAAAUGUGAAAUCCCUGAGCUUAACUUAGGAAUUGCAUUCGAUACUGGUUGGCUAGAGUAUGGGAGAGGAUGGUAGAAUUCCAGGUGUAGCGGUGAAAUGCGUAGAGAUCUGGAGG
rnacentral:rRNA from 1 species